GAUGAAGAACGCAGCGAAAUGCGAUACGUAAUGUGAAUUGCAGAAUUCAGUGAAUCAUCGAGUCUUUGAACGCACAUUGCGCCCCCUGGUAUUCCGGGGGGCAUGCCUGUCCGAGCGUCAUUGCUGCCCUCAAGCACGGCUUGUGUGUUGGGCCUCCGUCCUCCUCCCGGGGGACGGGCCCGAAAGGCAGCGGCGGCACCGCGUCCGGUCCUCGAGCGUAUGGGGCUUCGUCACCCGCUCUUGUAGGCCCGGCCGGCGCUUGCCGACACAUCAAUCUUUUUUCCAGGUUGACCUCGGAUCAGGUAGGGAUACCCGCUGAACUUAAGCAUAUCAAUAAGCGAGGGA
rnacentral:misc_RNA from 1 species